CUAAUAAAUAACACUUUAUGGUGUCAUUUAUAUUUAAUCAGUUCAAAGCUAAUUCGACAAUGAAUCAUCAAUGGUCCGAUCGAAAAAGGAAUUUUCUGGUGCGUGCUACGGCUGAAUCGACAUUACCUACAACUCAACUUUCGAAAGCAUGAACCUUAAAAAAAUUCAUCAGGAACUGGUACUUGCGACGAGCCUUACUGAAUUUCAUGAAAUGAAGUGAUCACACCUACUUACCUGCAACAUAGUUAGAUCAUCCUCCAAGCGUUAAGAAAAUAUUUUUCCUCUCUUUUAAGAAUUCAGGGCGAGUAAAGCCUGCUCAACAAAAGUUUGUGUAAGAUUGUUCCAUUCAAAAUCACCUAAGAAUCAUUUCAAUGGUAAAGUUGCCAACGAUUCCUAUUGAAAGUCGUUUGGUUCACUGAAUUUUUCAGGUACCGAAAGAUGAAAGGAUCUUGAAAAGUCAUAGAAUUACAUCCCACCAUGAAAACAAGUUGGGAAAAACAGUUCAGAUUGACCAGGGAUGACAUUUGUAACAUUUACUUCUCAAACCAAUCUAAUGGCCAAACAUAGGUAUCAUUUGCAAAA